ensembl:lincRNA
ACAUCUUUUUAGCCAAUUUAUUAAUUUAUUAUCUCUCUCUUGCGCACUCUCGCGUGUGGCUGUGUGCAUUCGCGUCUCUCUCUCUCUCUCUCUCUCUCUCUCUCUCUCUCUAUCUCUCUCUCUCUCUCUCUCUCUCUCUCUCUCUCUCUCUCUCUCUCUGUGUGUGCGCGUAGUUGUGUAGUCUCUCUCUUUCAGUGCGCGAGGAAGCGCCAGAGAGUCGCGGGCGGAGCGGAAGGGACUCUGCGGGAUUUGAGCGCUGAUCUCCGGCAGCAGAUCUCUCUGUGAUCGCGCUUCUGCUGCUGGAAACACCGGAGCACCGGUCACCACUCACCGGGAGUUACGGGAGAGAAGCGCGGGAUGGUGGACAACAACAAAACACAGAUGGAGGGUCUUUCUUCGGGCCUGAAGCUGGAGGCGAUGUUGGAGCAUCUCCAUCAGCAGCAGCAGGAGCGUCUGCACAGUGAGCAGCAGCAGCGGCGGCUCCGCGAGGCUCACUUCUUCUACACGCAGCAGCUUGCGGCUCAGCAGGCCAUACUAGCGGCCGCCCGCGCCUCUGGAGCCGCACUCAUCAACACACAUGCCUCACUGCUCUCCAGCAGUGUGGACUCUGAGCGUGAGGAUGAGGAGGAGCGGGGCCGAGACUCCGCCGAGGAUGAAGAUGAAGAUGAUGAAGACAGUGAGGAAGACGAGCUCGACUUCCUUCGUAAGCAGAGUUUGGCGCUCCAGCAGAGAGAUACAGCUGUUUCUGGCAGCCGGUCAGGCCCCGGGGCCCCUGGAGCUACAGUCAGGGUUAAAGAGGAGCCCGAGGAGGAGCCGAGCCCUGCUGACCGGCCCUCAGAUACAUCUCCAAAUGGCCCUGCGGACUGGAGCUAUGAGGAGCCAUUUAAAGCGAUCAACUUUUUUUGUAUGUAAUUACAGUCAAAGCAUUGGGUUUGUGAUCCGGAUGAUCCGGUUCUGCAGGUGUCGGUGGUCUUGUCCUUAUUGUGCUGCUGUUUAACAUGCGUGGGCUGACGGCUGAAUGUUGGAGAGUUGAACAACAAUUUAACAGGCAAAUAAGAGCUCCGCGUCCGCCACGCACACCCGAGGAAGACCUUUAAAAUGCACUCAUGCGAUCCGUCUUAUUCUGCAUAUGUUUGCUCAAGGUUUUGCCAUGACAGAUGUCGUCUAAUCCAGCGCUCAAUAGACGGGUUCAAUCAAACAAAUGCACUAACAGAUCCACUACAACUAAUGCAAACACACAAACCCACACACACACACACACACACGCUGAAACAGGACUCGCAAAAGGUUAACUUUCAUUUUCUUUCCUUUUUUUUUGUUUAAAUAAAUCCGUUUCAUUGUUCUAAAUUCCUUUAUAUGUUCCUUUGUUUCUGUGUGGAGUUUGCAUGUUCUCUCCAUAUUGGUGUGGGUUUCCUCCACAUGCUCUGGUUUCCUCCACAGUCCAAACACAUGCGCUAUAGGGGAAUAGGGUAGGCUAAAUUGACCCUAGUGUAUGUGUGUAAAACAGUGUUUGUGGGUGUUUUCCAGUGAUGGGUUGUGGCUGGAAGGGCAUCCGCUGUGUAAAACAUAUGCUGGAUAAGUUGGCGGUUCAUUCUGUUGUGGCGACCCCUGAUUAAUAAAGGGACUAAGCCUAAAAUAAAUCGAAUGAAUGACAUUUAAAUUAAUUUUAAUUUAUUUUAUUGUAUUUAUUUUUUUUUUUAAACGAAUAUCUUUUUUUAUGGAACUUAA